rnacentral:lncRNA from 1 species
UCAUUUCCCUCUCAUUUCCGUCUAACUCCUACCGCACUCCACUGGAACCCCACUGCAUAUUCCGUCCCUUUAUUUCGAUUCAAGGCAAGGUGAACACAAAUCAAGGUUAGGUUUCUUCUCCAUUCUCCAUUUUCACUAACUCUGGUUUGAGUACUGAUUUCGGUGCGGAUGUGGUAAGGAGAUUGAAAUUCAAUUGUGUUUUUUAUUUCUUCCAUUUUAGUUUUCGAUUUAGAAAUUUAUUGGUCCUGUGUUUUUGCUAUUGUUACUGUGCAUCGCAAGCUUCGACAAAUUUCGAAUCGGUAUUUGCAUUCAUGAAUCGGUGACACGAGAUUGAUCGGAGAACGGUGAAAUUCAAGUGACGCACUUUUUGGAGCAGAAUCGUUGGCAGUAACACACUUUUCCGGUGAUUUUCUGCUGGCUGUUUCAGUGCUGAUUUAUGAAAGUUUGGUGCAGAAUUUUUAUUUUUUCCAGCAGUGGAAAUCUGAAAUUGGUUUUGGUGCAGUGUAAAUU